rnacentral:rRNA from 1 species
UACGAAGGUCCCAAGCGUUAUCCGGAUUUAUUGGGUUUAAAGGGCGCGUAGGCGGCUUUGUAAGUCAGUGGUGAAAUAUGGCAGCUUAACUGUCAGGGUGCCAUUGAUACUGCGGAGCUUGAGUACAGAUGAGGUAGGCGGAAUUGACGGUGUAGCGGUGAAAUGCUUAGAUAUCGUCAAGAACACCUAUUGCGAAGGCAGCUAACUAAGCUCAAACUGACGCUGAGGCACGAAAGUGUGGGGAGCAAACAGG